UUGAACUCAGAGAUCUAUCUGUACCUUCCAAGUGCAAAGAUUAAAGCUUCAUCAGCAUCUCCGGCUCGGCACAAUGGAGUUCAGGGGCCAGCUUGAGAAAAACAGAACUCAGUUAAGAAGAUCUGAAGAGCCAGGCUGGAUAAAUAUUCAUAAACACAUUCACACUACCUGCAUCAGAAAGGGCUAUGAACUCCCAAACACACUUCAAGGUCAGUGCAUCGCUUUCAUCUGUUUCCAGCACUUUGCAUAGUUGGCAGCCCUCCCUCCUCUGGGGAGAGGCAGGACACCAAGAGAGCACACGACUCACAUUCUCGGCCCAAAUUUCCAUAACCACAUCACCAGAUGGGAUAAUAAUCAUCCCUGAAAUUGAUGCACAGGCUUCGGGUCUGAGGAAACUUCUUCCUGCUUCUUUUCAGAAUCGUUUCUUCUGGCUCUUUAGACAUAAAGUGUUCUUCCUUCCAGGAAAGGUUACAAGUUAAGGUGGUUUGUAAAAGAAAGAAGUGUGAAUCCCAUGUCUUUGGGGAGCACUGCGGCUGGCCCUCUUUGACAACUAAAUGCGAUGAAAACCUUCCCAGGUGAUUGGGAGCAGUCACUGGGAGGCCUCUGUCCCCUGCAUGGUUGUCUCCUGGCCACCUUGGCUCUGUCUCCACAGCAUUUUGUCAUUAUGCCGAAGUAUCCUCUCCUAGUCUCAGGCAUGUCCUCUGAGUUACUCAUUCUAUGGAAAGCCAGUAGCAUUGAGAAGGUUCCAAAUCAAUGCAACUCAAACCAUACUUCUAGAAUCUGGUACAGUAAGGAACUUGAUGUUGACGAUACAUAACAGUGUCAAACUGCCCCGAAAACUUCAGACGAACCUUAAACACAGUUAAGUUGUAGCACACAAAUAUCAAACAGCAACUAGGUAGUACAGAUUUUAAAAACGUUCAGUGUUCAA
rnacentral:lncRNA from 1 species